rnacentral:lncRNA from 1 species
GGAGAUGCAAAAUUGAGAACAUAGCAAUAGCCAACCAAGAUUAACCCAAACUGCAAUCGUUUUUGUAGAAGUUUGGUAUCAACUUCAGAAUAUGUACCGUCACAAACAAAGCUGCUGUUACGUGCAAAUAUAAGGCACUGUGAGGAGCGAAGAUCAUGAAAACAUUACCUAGGUUAAGUUUAAAUAUACUCUUUCCUCUCUAUUGUGUGU